rnacentral:rRNA from 1 species
AUUGAACGCUGGCGGCAGGCCUAACACAUGCAAGUCGAGCGAGCGGCGGACGGGUGAGUAAUGCCUGGGAAUUGCCCAAUCGGGGGGUAAAACAGUUAGAAACGACUGCUAAUACCGCAUACGAUGAGAGUGCACAGGGGGGAUUAGAUAGUUGGGGAGGUAAUGGCUCACCAAGGCGACGAUCCCUAGCUGGUCUGAGAGGAUGAUCAGCCACACUGGAACGGAGACACGGCCCAGACUCCUACGGGAGGCAGCAGUGGGGAAUAUUGCACAAUGGGGGAAACCCUGAUGCAGCCAUGCCGCGUGUGUGAAGAAGGCCUUCGGGUUGUAAAGUACUUUCAGCGAGGAGGCGUUACUCGCAGAAGAAGCACCGGCUAACUCCGUGCCAGCAGCCGCGGUAAUAC